AUUUAUGACAGGCUGACCUCAGUAAACACAUGAACUAUGACCAAGGUCUCAUACUAAGCAGGAGAUAUGGCUCUCUCAGUCUCAGUCAUGGCUUUAAAAGUGAGCAGCUGAGCUCUUUAGACAGGUUGUUAGGUGUUUGAGACUCAUACAGGCUGAGCAGUGAAGCGGUGAGUGAACAGUGAUUCCAGGCAGCAGAUAAUCCUCUGAGGAGAAGAAGGACUUCCCACAUGGACUCCAACAGUGCUGGCAGCGUGCAAUAUGAUCGCUGGAACGAGGACAACAUCAACAUGAAAGUCGAUGCACCACAGUCUACUGUGAUGAGGAUCUACGACACAGUGUGUAACGGCAGCUAUGGAGUAGCAGUGAAGGCUGCAGGAGCUUUGGCUGCACUGGUGUCCAUUUACGUCAUAGGAUACGUGACAGGAUACUACGUCCAUAGGUGCUGAUGGUGGAGCCCUGUCAGGAGAGAAAGGAGCUCGGAGAUUUGGGAUAAAUCACAAAUUAAAAAAAAGUUUUGUUAAAUAAAAAUCAACCAAAAAGUUGGUCUGUGUAGUACUUAUCAUUAUCACCUCUGUCCUCCCUCAGCCUCUUUGUCAUCAGAGCAGAAGUCUUUUUGU